GCCCGAAUAGUUUAAACAAAACACCGGUCUUGUAAACCGAAACUGAAGACUGACACAUUCUUCGGGCA
rnacentral:tRNA from 1 species